rnacentral:rRNA from 1 species
GAUGAACGCUGGCGGCGUGCCUAAUACAUGCAAGUAGAACGCUGAAGGAGGAGCUUGCUCUUCUGGAUGAGUUGCGAACGGGUGAGUAACGCGUAGGUAACCUGCCUGGUAGCGGGGGAUAACUAUUGGAAACGAUAGCUAAUACCGCAUGACAACAGUUAUUGCAUGAUAACUGUUUAAAAGGGGCAACUGCUCCACUACCAGAUGGACCUGCGUUGUAUUAGCUAGUUGGUGAGGUAACGGCUCACCAAGGCGACGAUACAUAGCCGACCUGAGAGGGUGAUCGGCCACACUGGGACUGAGACACGGCCCAGACUCCUACGGGAGGCAGCAGUAGGGAAUCUUCGGCAAUGGACGGAAGUCUGACCGAGCAACGCCGCGUGAGUGAAGAAGGGUGUCGGAUCGUAAAGCUCUGUUGUAAGAGAAGAACGAGUGUGAGAGUGGAAAGUUCACACUGUGACGGUAUCUUACCAGAAAGGGACGGCUAACUACGUG